CUCAGCGACGCCACUGAGCACCCAGCAGGGAACUUGGAGUGUCCUGGUGCCAGUGGGACUGGUCUGACCUGCGGGUGGAGGAGCCAGAGUGGCGAGGGGAGGACUCACUGGCCAGCCUGGGGCUGCUGGCUCUGCUCUCUCAGCUGUGAGAACCCCAGCUCCUCCCCUUGGGGCCGGCCCGGGGCACCUCUCCCUCCACCAGCUCCUGGCUUUGGAUGGGGGAGCUCCUGCGGUUCCAGCUCUUUGGGGCAGUGGGGAUGGGGGGCUCCUGUGGUUCCAUCUCUGUGGGGCGAUGAGGAUGGGGGGGUUCCUGCGGUUCCAUCUCUAUGGGGCGGUGAGGAUGGGGGGGCUCCAUUGGUUCCAGCUCUGUGGGGUGGUGGGGACUGGGGGGCUCCUGCGGUUCCAGCUCUGUGGGGUGGUGGGGACUGGGGGGCUCCUGCGGUUCCAUCUCUGUGGGGUGGUGGGGACUGGGGGGCUCCUGCGGUUCCAUCUGUGUGGGGCAGUGGGGAUGGGGGACUUCUGCGGUGCCUCAUCCUGGGGCUGCCUCCCUCCUGGGCGUCCCUCCUGUACUGCUGCCAGCCCUGGGUGACCCUUGCCCGAGCCUCCUGGCCCUUCCUGCCUGCUGGGCCACCCCUGAGCCACGUGCGCCUCCAGCAGCUGGGACCCCCUUCUCUUACCUGUCCCCCUCCUACCCCUGCCCCGUCCAGUAGUGGCCAGUCCCGGGAGCCUCUCCCCACAGUGUCCCCGAGCGCCCUGGCCGGUCCUGCUGCACAGCUUCAGGCCUCCCACCCAGUCUGCUCUCAGGUCCCCGCUCCCCGGGCCCUCGCUGGGCCGGCACUGGAGUUGCCGUCAGCCUCCGUCCUGCUCCCCACCCUCUGCCAGCUGGGCCUUUGCUGCCCUCUCCCGGCCCUGAGCCCUGCAGGUCCAGGACCUUGUUCCCAACUCUGCUGUCCCUCUCCAAAACCAUCCUUCCUGAGGGGCCAAGGCCAUCCGAAGGCCGCACUCUGCCCCAUGCCUGCCUCCGAGCUCAGUGCCUUCCUAAAGAUCUGCUUGGCAUCAGGGCUGGCACAUGCCCUCUCCCAGCUCCACCCCGGGUCUGGCUGCUCAUCUUAG
rnacentral:lncRNA from 1 species